AGGACGAACGCUGGCGGCGUGCUUAACACAUGCAAGUCGAGCGGUAAGGCCCUUUCGGGGGUACACGAGCGGCGAACGGGUGAGUAACACGUGGGUGACCUGCCCUUAGCUCUGGGAUAAGCCUGGGAAACUGGGUCUAAUACCGGAUAUGACCUCGCGAUGCAUGUCGUGGGGUGGAAAGCCUUGUGCGGCUAGGGAUGGGCCCGCGGCCUAUCAGCUUGUUGGUGGGGUGAUGGCCUACCAAGGCGACGACGGGUAGCCGGCCUGAGAGGGCGACCGGCCACACUGGGACUGAGACACGGCCCAGACUCCUACGGGAGGCAGCAGUGGGGAAUCUUGCGCAAUGGGCGAAAGCCUGACGCAGCGACGCCGCGUGAGGGAUGACGGCCUUCGGGUUGUAAACCGUCUUUCAGCCCUGACGAAGCGAAAGUGACGGUAGGGCAGAAGAGCACCGGCCACUACGUGCCAGCAGCCGCGGUAA
rnacentral:rRNA from 1 species